rnacentral:rRNA from 1 species
UGUAAGCGUAUACCAAAGUUGUUGCAGUUAAAACGCUCGUAGUCGGAAUUUGGCAGUUCCGGAUGUGUGCACGUCGUGUGCGAACUUCGCGGGGAUUGCUUUUGUGGUCUUGCGUAGGAUGAGGCACUUUUAUUAGUGAACGUCCUCACGCAACCACUUUUUACUGUGAGAAAAUCAGAGUGCUCAAAGCAGGCAUUUGCCGUGAAUGUAUUAGCAUGGAAUAAUAGAAUAGGACUUGGUUCUAUUUUGUUGGUUUGUUGGGACUGAGUAAUGAUUAAGAGGGACAGUUGGGGGCAUUUGUAUUUCGGUGCUAGAGGUGGAAUUCUUAGAUUACCGAAAGACAAACUGCUGCGAAAGCGUCUGCCAAGGAUGUUUUCAUUGA